rnacentral:rRNA from 1 species
GAUGAACGCUGGCGGCGUGCCUAAUACAUGCAAGUCGAGCGAACAGACGAGGAGCUUGCUCCUCUGACGUUAGCGGCGGACGGGUGAGUAACACGUGGAUAACCUACCUAUAAGACUGGGAUAACUUCGGGAAACCGGAGCUAAUACCGGAUAAUAUAUUGAACCGCAUGGUUCAAUAGUGAAAGACGGUUUUGCUGUCACUUAUAGAUGGAUCCGCGCCGCAUUAGCUAGUUGGUAAGGUAACGGCUUACCAAGGCAACGAUGCGUAGCCGACCUGAGAGGGGGAUGGGCAAAACUGGAACUGAGACAGGGCCCAGACCCCGAGGGGAGGCAGCAGAAGGGAAUUCUCCGCAAGGGGCGAAAGCCUGACGGAGAAACGGCGGGGGAGUGAUAAAGGUCUUCGGAACGUAAAACUUUUUUAUGGGGGAAAAAAAAAGGGGAAAGUAACUAUGCAGGUCUUGACGGUACCAAAUCAGAAAACCAGGGCUAACUACGU